GAUGAACGCUGGCGGCGUGCCUAAUACAUGCAAGUCGAGCGAACAGACCAGGAGUUUUCUCCUCUGACGUUAGCGGCGGACGGGUGAGUAACACGUGGAUAACCUACCUAUAAGACUGGGAUAACAACGGGAAACCGGAGCUAAUACCGGAUAAUAUAUUGACCUGCAUGGUUCAAUAGUGUAAGUCGGUUUUUCUGUAACUUAUAGAUGGCUCCGCGCGGCAUUAGCUAGUUGGUAAGGUAACGGAAUACCAAGGCAAGGAUGGGUAGCCGACCUGAACGGGAGAUUGACCAGCCGGGAAGAGAGACAGGGUCCAGACUCUGACGGGAGGCAGCGGUAGGGAAUCUUACGCGAGGGGGGAGAGGCUGACGGAGCAACGCCGCGUGAGUGAUGAAGGUCUUCGGAUGGGAGAACGAUGUAGGUAGGAAAGAACAAAUGCGUAAUUAACUAUGCACGUCUUGACGGUACCUAAUCAAAAAGCCACGGCUAACUACGUG
rnacentral:rRNA from 1 species